GACGAACGCUGGCGGCGUGCUUAACACAUGCAAGUCGAACGGUGAAGCGCCUUCCUUUUUGGUGGGUGUGGAUGAGUGGCGAACGGGUGAGUAACACGUGAGUAACCUGCCCCCUUCUUCUGGAUAACCGCAUGAAAGUGUGGCUAAUACGGGAUAUUCUGGGUCUGUCGCAUGAUGGGUCUGGGAAAGAUAUUGUUUCGGUGGGGGAUGGGCUCGCGGCCUAUCAGCUUGUUGGUGGGGUGAUGGCCUACCAAGGCGGUGACGGGUAGCCGGCCUGAGAGGGUGGACGGUCACACUGGGGCUGAGACACGGCCCCGCCUCCUACGGGAGGCAGCAGUGGGGAAUAUUGCACAAUGGGCGCAAGCCUGAUGCAGCGACGCCGCGUGAGGGAUGGAGGCCUUCGGGUUGUGAACCUCUUUCGCCAGUGAAGCAGGCCUGCCUCGUUUGUGGGUGGGUUGACGGUAGCUGGAUAAGAAGCGCCGGCUAACUACGUG
rnacentral:rRNA from 1 species